UCCCUGUGCGUAAAGUGGUCAGAAUCUCCGCCUGUCACGCGGAAGACCGUGGUUCAAUUCCCCGACAGGGAG
rnacentral:tRNA from 1 species